rnacentral:tRNA from 2 species
GCGGGCGUGGCGGAAUUGGUAGACGCGUCAGGUUUAGGUCCUGGUGGCCUUUGGCCGUGGGGGUUCAAGUCCCUCCGCCCGCACCA